AUUCUUUUAGUAUUAACCAGUACAACUGACUUCCAAUCAGUUAGUUUCGGUAUAGCCNNNAAAAGAAUA
rnacentral:tRNA from 1 species